UGCCGCCCAUCUUUCCCCAGCGUACCUUCGGAACCUCUCUGCCCUGGGAACAUUUACAGUGCUUUCCACUUUCGUGGGCAUAUUCUACUUUCCUUCCGCUGCCAAACACAUUCAGUGCCACCGUCUACGCCAUGGGACAUCAGCCACAGCCGCACGUCAUUCCAGCAGUGACCCCAGUCAAUGCAGCUCCUGGCUGUCUAUGCUGACAAGACUAGUCCAAAGCACAGCUAUUUUUUUCCGCCUUUUCCAGUCAUAUGAUGAUUUGUUCAUUGCAGGACUGCUUCAGUUCCUUCAUCAUGCAGCUCAUGUCACUACCCGACACGGUGUGGGACUGCUAGUCCAGGGCUGAUUUUGACUGAGUCCUUGGGCUUGAAGACUCAUGGGCAUUGCUGAGAUUGCACCUUUGAGAGAAGAGUCUUUCUGAUGGUCCUGCUCUGCUCCACCUGACCCUAUGAAAGGAGGGUUCACCAUAGCUCUGUCCUUGGCGCUCCAGCUCCACAAGAUGGGCUCGUUCAGGAGGCCUCGACCUCGCUUCAUGAGCUCCCCUGUGCUCAGCGAUCUGCCUCGCUUCCAGGCAGCCCGGCAGGCGAUGCAGCUCAGCUCCAACUCUGCCUGGAACAGCGUACAAACAGCAGUGAUAAAUGUGUUCAAAGGGGGAGGCUUGCAGAACAAUGAACUUUACACCCUCAAUGAAAAUAUCAGACGGCUGCUGAAGAGUGAACUUGGAUCCUUCAUCACUGAUUACUUUCAGAACCAGCUCCUUGCAAAAGGCUUGCUGUUUAUGGAGGAGAAGGUCAAGCUGUGUGAAGGUGAGGAUCGCAUUGAUGUCCUGUCUGAAAUCUGGGAUCACUAUUUUACAGAGACUCUUCCUACACUCCAGGCAAUAUUCUACCCAGUCCAGGGUCAGGAGCUGACUAUCCGUCAGAUUGCUCUUCUUGGCUUCAGAGACUUGGUCUUGCUAAAAGUAAAGUUGGAAGAAAUUCUUCCCCUGGUCCAGACAAAGGUUCCAGCUUCCAUUGUCCAGAUGCUGUUAAUUCUGCAGAGUGUCCAUGAACCUACUGGCCCCACUGAGGGCUACCUACAGCUGGAAGAACUGGUCAAGCAGGUGGUAUCACCAUUCUUAGGUUUGUGUGAGGAUCACAGCUCUUCUGGUAGCACCUGCUUGCUUGAGAGACGGUACUCCAGAUCCCGUCCCAAGGCCCUGACCCCCCUGACGGAGCAGGAGGGCGAGGCUUACCUGGAGAAGUGUGGCAGCAUCCGUCGGCACACGGUAGCCAACGCUCACUCGGAUAUCCAGCUGCUGGCCAUGGCCUCCAUGAUGCACACGGGCAUGGUGGCAGAGGAAUCGGACACUCCUGACAAAUGCCUGCUGCUGCAGCCCAGCUGCUUCGGCCACAGGCAGUGCUCCAGCGAGCCCAGCAUUGCCGAUGGCCCCGAGGGAGGGGUGGCAGCAGCCAGCAGGCAGGACCCUGCCGAGCUCAACUGCACCUCUGUCAGCUAGGAGGAGGCUGGCUGGGGAGUGGAGAACUGCAUGCACCGAGCUGGACAGAGAGUGGUGUGUCAUCCCUGCCGGGGAAAAAAAAGAAAGAAAUAGGAAUUUUGGUCAUGUCAUUGAAAUGGGCUCGAGAAUGCUCUCUAGAUAUGUUCUUUUGCCAGUCUGGGAUCAUUGUUGCUGGAGGUACCAGGCUGCUCCCAAAUGACCACUGAGGGCUGCAAAGGUUUUGCUGUUGAACAGCACAGUCUGCCUUCUGUAAGCUUUCUCCCUCUACUGGUAUAACCUUUCUGGCAUCAGGUUUCCUUCUUUCUCUUUAGUAUGAUACAAACGGAGUUCCUUCUGUUUUUCUCCAUCUUUUCCAGUUGUGCUUCUUCUCUGUUCUUUGUCCCUGCAGAGGAGGUCUCUGUGCUCAGUGUUCUCUUUGCUUCUGGUGCUAGCAUGGUGAAUGCUGAGCACUUAAUUUCUCUUCUAAAGUUGAACUCAGGGAUGAAAUCAUUUGCAUCCUGCAGAAAGAUCUGCUGGGGUGGCUUGUGAGAGGAGGACGUCCUUCAUUUGCUUCCCAUAUGGGCAUGGAUGAGAAGUCCAAAUCAGAAUUAAUCAGACUUAUUUUUAAUCAGACUUAUUUUUUUUCCCAGGCCCAAAGAGAACCAAGCAUACAUGGAGUCUGAACUGAGUACUUCAUAUGUACUUUAUUUGGUUCCAGUCAUAUCUUGGGAGUUCUGGUGUAAAUUGGGUGCAAAAUAUACUGAGCAUCCUGGUAUUUGACAUCAGUUUGCUCUCAAAAUUUCAGUGGUGAUAGGGCUAUGAUGAAAGAGCAAAUCAAAUGCAAUGGAGAUGCUGCACUUGUAUAGGAGAUGUAAAGGUGCUGCUCAGCACUGGGCCGUGGUGACUCCAGAUCAGGGGGUGAUGAUCAGGAUCUCAUCCUGAGCCUACCCUGGCAAUUUUAGCCCUUGUGGAUUUCAUGAGAGCGAGGAUAAUCAGCAGGGUGUGGAAAGGAGUCCUGUCUCAGUGUAUUCAUGAAGUGCUCCUGACCUCCAGUGGUAUCUGACUCAGUGCAGUAUUGCUUUUAAAGUAAAGCAAGGGCUCUUUGCAGUCUUUGGGUUUGUUUUUGUUGUGAAGAUUAGGAGUGGGUCCAGUUUGCAGGUGUCUGUGUCAGGCACUGCACUCUGCAGUGUCUGCUUUGUAGCAUCACUUGGUACUCUAAUGCUGCUUCUGUGGGGACAGAUCCAAUCUGUUUGAGCUGUCCUCAGGAUACUCUGCUCACGUCUUGCUAAGCAGACUUGCAAGUGUAAUUACAGGCUUAGAGGUGAACUGCUGCCUUAAAUGUCAAAUCCCAUUAAAAAUAUGGACACAACACAACUACCACUUGAAUUUACUCCAAGUAGUACUGUAAAUAAGUGUGUCUUGACAAGGAAACAGAAGAUUAGGGUGAGCCUUCAGGGUGUUUUUUGCAUGCCAUGACAUUAACUGCAGAAUUUACCCUGCUUCUGUUGGGCAUUAAACAUCUGCUCCACUGGCUGCACUGGAAGUACAGCUCUGACCUGCCAGGAUUUGGCAUUAGUAGCACGUUCAGCAAAAGGAGAGCAGGUUAUUAUUUGGCAACAAAGCAUCAGAAAUACCAUCUAUGAGCACAAGCCAUGCUGCCUUGAUAAAUGAGGGUGUUGCUUUAUUUACUGUGGUUUGCAGUGUUGAGAAAGAUACUUGGAAGAGCCUCCUUUUUCUCCUUUUCCUUGGCCUUUGGGGAAGGGCCAAGUGUUUGGAUCCCCAGCUGUGCUUUGCAUGUCAGGAAAAGAGGUUCAGUUGUGCUGGCUGCCUCCUCCUCCUCCUCAGAGCUCCCCCAGUCCAGCAGAGGCCUGGAAGAUGUGCCUUUAAGCAGUGUUCCCUUCAGAUGCAUGAUAGGAUAAAUUGCUCUCCUGUUAUAAAUUGGACUGACCAGCCAGCUUACUGUCAUUUGCCCCAGGGCAGCCAUGGAUUGUGGUGGAGCUUCAGAAUCUCUUGGUGGCAGCCAAGCCAUGCUGGUCUCAGCUUGGCACAGAUGAUGGUGUCCUGCUCACAGUUAAUUUCUUUGGCCCCUUGCUGUGAUUUAAAGCCUUCUCUUAGCCACACUGAGGUGUGUGGAGAGGUGGCCACCCUGUAGCAUUUCAGUUCACUCUUAUGAAUGCUUGUCUUCUUUCUGCUUCUCCUGUAACCCAUUUGCCUUCUGUAACUACCCAAACCAUUUCGAUUAGAGAGCAGCACCCUCUUUUUAUGGUGAAAACUAGAAUGAUUUAUUUAUUUCCUGACAUAUUCUUGGAUCAUCUCUAGGACUAAUAGAAGUUAGUCCUGGUUUUAACUUGAAUUUAUUUUGUUUUACACAUAUGUAUGAUUUUAAUUAUUUUGGGUUUUUGUAUCUGUUACUUUGCAAAAAUUUGCACCAAACCCUCUGAAUCAUGCACUUGCCCCAUUGUUUUGUUUUUACAGAGAAUUAAAGCUGGUGGCUUUACUUUGUAAACGGAAGUAAACACAACUGUUCUGUAAACCACACCGAGUGUAUGGUCAUGAGCACCACAUUCACAGCCACGUGAGGUUGCACAAGCCUCUGCAAGUGCUUUUCUUGCACAGACUGGGGGACUCUGCAGGUGGCUGGAAAGCUGUGCCGUGGUGGCAGAGUGAGGCUGGCCUGGAAGGGUCCUGGGAGCAGCUCUGAGAGGCUGCUCUCUGCUGAGGAAGCUUCCAAACCUCUGGCAGCAAAGACUCUGUCCCUGUGCCCAAGCUGCAGCAUGAGCAGCACUUGCAUUUUGGUCACAGCAUUCUGUUUUGGGGUUGCACUGUGUUGCUGGCCAUGUCACACAGCUGUGACAGGGUCUCAGGGUGGGUCCUUUCUUCCCUCGUGGUCACCAGCUUGAGAAAACCUCCUGGAGGAGCUAUCAGAAUGGGAAGAAGGAGUUUCUCUCACACCUCCUGAAGUCUGUUACCUUCUACUUGGAUAAUGACCUAGACUGAGUCACUUUUCAUCACACUGAAUCUGUCUUCCCUUUUUACUCUGUCUUCUUAAGGUAAGCGAUUUAUUCUGUGUCCAUUAAAUUCUGUCAUAAACUUAUUGAUGGGGCUAUUCUUAGUAUCACUGGCCUUUUCUAUGAUAUUCCCCUUAGCCAAGCACGUGUUUUUGUUGGCAGAAAGCAGAGCUGCUUCUGGCCCUAGCCAUGUGGGCAACAACUUGGUUUAUUUUUUUCUUUUUAUUUUUUUUUUUUCAAUCGGAAGACUUGCAGUGUAUCUUGCUGCUGGCGCUGAUGGCAGCAGGGUGAACACUGCAGGGUUUGGAUUGCCCUUUCUUUGUAAGUCCAAAUGGCAAUGGGUUCACUUGGAAGGCCUUUUGGCACUUGCCACUGAGUCAACAGUUGGAAAAUACAUGGCUCUUAGAGGCAGCCUGUGUUCCCCAGAGAGGAGAAACUGCAGUUCUAGUGAGAGACAAACUGUGGUAUGUAUGGUCUGCUUAGUUAUGUGAACUUCCUAAUUUUGCUGUAGUCUCAGAGUAGCAAACUUCCCUAACAGGAUUCCCUGUUCCUUCCCAACCUGGCUCCUUCCCCAUGCCAGCAGCAGGACUCCUGGGCCUGGCAGAGUGCACCUCCCUCUCCCUGAAGGAGAGCUGUGUGUUAGACAAAGCCACAGGUGGGUGUCUGAGCUCCUGAAGGAGACCAGGCUGGCUGUGUUCCCUGGCUGCCCCUUCCCCCUUGGGACAGGUCUGCACAGAGCCAGCACCGCUUCCCACUCAGAGAAGCAGGUGAGAAAGCAAGACCCACCCUGGCAUGGAUUCCCCACAGGGCCCAGGGAGUUUCCCAGGGGUACCUGAGCUGGAAAUUCAGCCCACAAUCAACAUUCUCUGUAGGAAAGUCACUGCAAAUUUUCCUGUUAAUUAAAAGUGUGAAGAGCAGGGUAUUUGGUAUUUCCCGAGCGAAGAGGAGGUAAUUAGUCAUCCUAUUCAUAUUUCAAAUAUGGAAGGUGGAUCUGGCAGGACAACAGUAGGUUAAAUGGGAUAUUCUUGCUUGUCCACACAUUUGAGAGUGCUUUCUCUUCCCUCUGCUAUGCCAACAGCUACAGGUAAGGGCACCAAGCAUUCAGCUACGUAAACAAAAGCUUUAAAACAGAGGUAGCAGCUUUUAAAGCAACUUUGCUGCAAAGGUACAGCUCGUUCUCAUCAAUGUGGUGCUCAAAAUUGCAUGCUGUAAAAUAGCUGCCACUUGCCACCUGAGAAUUGGCUGCCUUUUAUUCAUUACUUGCAUCUGAAGGAGGAGCAGCUCAGAUGUUUGGGUGCAUUUCUCCAAGUGAUGAAAAGAAGUGACAACUCCAGUGCAGAAGUAAGUGAACUGAAAAUUGUCAUUAUUUAUCAACAGCUGCUUGCUGUGCAUGGCCAACACACUCUUGGGGCCAUAAAUAUGGGCAUGUGUGUAGGUGAGCCACCUGUAUGGGAGAGAGUAGUAAAGAAGGGGUACAUGGUUUAAAGGAAAUAGCUGACUAGACUAAUCUUCACCUGAACAAUUGGCAUAACAGAAGGUAGAGGCUUAAUUAUAGUUUGGUCACCAGGUUUUGCAAUGAGCAAAAGGAAAGCAAACUCCAUAAAUAAAAAGACAAUGGCUUGAAGGGUCCCACCUAGCCCAAACUCCUGCCAUAGCACAGAGCAGAUUUGCAGUAGCUAUGAAUUGCAAGAGUAUUCAGGAAGUUGCUGUUUGAAGUGUCUCUCAUUUGGCUUCAAAGCUAGUUCCCACUUAUGGCAAGAGCUAGUUGAUAAUUCUUGUGGCAUAAUUAUUGUAGACUGUGCAGUAACAACCUCUGUUACAUUGGAAAAUAGAUUGGAGUCAGAGAAUCAUUCUCUCUGACCUUGAAAUUUAUGAAGACAGCCACAGUGGCUCACACAGGAGUUUUUUGUGGUUGUUGCAUUUUUGUUUUGUUUUGUUUUACUUUUAUUUUCUUUUUAAAAAACUUUUUUUCUUUUUUUUAACUUGAAAGAGCGAGUUCUGUUAGAAUUGCUUGGGCUUCUUAAAGACAGACUAGUUACAAGGCACUCAGUCUUCAAGUCUUUACUGCAACAGGACUACCUAGAAGGUGACAGAAUUUAUUAAUAUUAAAUGUCAGUAAGAAACCACAGACUCUGUGCCAUGAAUCAUCUGCCCUUCAGACCUCUGAAACUGAUUCACACCUGUCACGGGUAAGCCAGCCAUGUUUUUCACAGGGGGUUUUUAAUCCCCUUCACACUAAAGGCUUAUUGACUAACAUAUCGAUGGUUCUUGGAGUAGAAGCUUGUACACCCUUGUCCCCUGUAUUUCUGUCUCAUGGCUUCACUGUGACAAGUGCUAAGCCUGUCUUUCUUCAGGCACAUCUCAGGCCAAUGGAUUGUGAUUUGCUGAGUGGUUGGAUAGAAGAGAUGAGAGGGUGGGAGAGGCUGUUCUGCAGGAGGGAACUGACAGUACGUGUGAAAAGUGCCUCUUAAGUGAUAUAUGCACUACAUCUACAAAAACACUCUCUAGUAUUUUAUUUUUGUGGGAAUGGGAGAGGAGUUCUGAUGUGCAUUCAGAACUUUGAAUCUCAGAGAUUUAGCACCACUGUCCAUUACAAGUUUGAGUGAAUGCAGAAGAUUUCUUGUGAUUUUCCCCCACCCUGUUGUUUUUUUCAGUAGACAGUGAUGGAUGGUGAUUACAGGCUGAGCAUCGCUGCGUUUGGUAGUGCAGAUGGAGCUCCUCCAGGUUCCUUCAUUCAGCCUGUCACUGAAUGUCAUCAGUCUCUCUUCUGGCUCCUAAAUGUUCAACAUCUCUCUUUCCUGAAAGCCCUGCGGCAGACUGGAGAGAUGCUGCCUGCUGGGUAUAAAGUCCUGGUUAAAUUCAGUGGCCCAUCCUCAACAGCACAGUGUUAAGGAACCUUUCCUGUCUGACCAUCCAGGAGCUGCUCUGGCAGUCACACUCCCACCCCCUGAGCUGUGGGAAACCCAUGACUGAACUGGUAAGGAAACCUUUUCUCUGACUGUGGGUGUGGGGUGUGCAGCAAUCCAAGGGAGACAUCCAUGGGGUCACUGGAGCUUUGUUCCAGCAGUGACAGUCUGGAGUGGUGGGAGUGUGACUGCCAGAGUGACUCCUGAAUGGUCACACAGGAAAGUUUCCUUAACAACUUCAGGGAAAAGGAGCUGCCACCGUCUAGUCAUUCCCCUGUCAGUGUCCUGUAGUCUUUGAAAUGUCCUGCUCUUUGAAAUCGAAGUGAAAGCUGCAGUAAAUGAGACCUUAGAGCAUUUGCCAUGAGCCUCCCCCUAGCUUAUUGAAAUGUAUGAGCUGGUGUGAAAAGGACACCCAUGCUUGUCAGGCAAACAAAAAAGCCCAUUUUCAAAAGCUUAUUUCUUUGGCUUAUUUCUUACCCAAUGCUUAAUCUAAUCCACUGUUUUUUUGCAUCAACAUAACUGUCUUCCUUUGCCUAGGAUUUACAGUGUGGAGAGGAAAUUGUUCAAGAUCUGGACCUCUCAUAUUUUUUCUUUUUUUCCCUGACUAAUUGUCGUGGUUAGCUGAUUGACUCACAGAGCCAGUGAUGCCUUCAGAGGGCAGCAGCAGCCUCUCUCCACUCCUUCUCUGGCUUGGAAGUGCUUACAAAGGCUCAGCUCAGCAUGAAAUAGAGUGAGGGUCCGUUCAGCAGCAGGCACUGCUGUUUGUAGGGACUAUGGAGAGAGCAGCAGAGCAGAACUAGGCCUUCGAGGGAGUGACUAUUUGCUUUUCAGAUAUGUUCUUCCUACAUUGUUUGUUAGGGAUUGCCCAUAUUGGGGGAGCUUCCAAUGGGCUUUUGAGAGUCUUAGGGGAAAGCAAAUUUGUGCCUGUGUCUUACCCUCCAAGGCUGCCCUGCCUUGCCCAGCCCUACCUGGGGCAGGGGCACUGCUCGGCUGCGUCCCUGCUGUGUGCACUGGGUGCUGUGGGGUCUCUGGCUCGGCUUGUACCUGGUGUUACUGCAGAAAAUGUGCGUUUGGCAGGAGGAGGAGAGCAGAACCCAUGGGCCAAGCCCUGAAAGUCUUUCUUGCAGUGAGGGGUCCAAAACUGAACACAGGAUUAGAGGUGCAGCUCAAAGGAACUAUGAGUAAGUACAGUUCCCUGGGAGAAAGGCAUACCCAUGCUUUUACCCCUUCUCAUUUUGGGAAGGACAUGUGAUGGUGUUGGAUGCAAGUUCUGGCUCAGAAACCUGGGGACAGUUGGACUGGACUGGGGCAAUUUUCGUUAGAAUUUAUUUUUCUUAUCUUUAUACAUUAUUAUGUAUUAUAGAUUAUCUAUUUACAAUAUACAUUUGUAUAUAUUUAAUACAGUACAUCAAUAUAAUACUACAUUUAAUAAUUUAAAACAUGUUUUUUAUGUAUAUAAUAUGCUUUUUAAUUUUUGUAUUGGGUUUGUUAUAAUUACUUUAUUUAUCUGAGACUAUUACAACUUGACUGAGAAUAUACAGGAACCAGAAUAGGCAGAGGUUAAAAUAUGGCUCCUUUGCAUUCACACCUUGGUUUCCACUGCUGUUUGAAAGCAGCCAAGGAACCAAGAAAUCCUCUGUGGCUGGUCAUUGCUGUCCUGGGUGUUUGGUGGUCUGACCUCCCUUUUCCCAACACUACUGAUUUGCCUUUCAGGAUAAUUACAUUUCUACCCCUAUAAAUUCUAAAUCCCUUCCAUUGCCAGAGGAUCCAAAAGCAUGCACUGUGCAGACCAGCAAGAUGAACUUAAAAUAUUCAGUCCUUGCAUUUUAUCUAGAAGGAUGAGUAGAGGCACAUGCCUGUAUAAAGGACUUCUGGAUGAAGAAACUCAAGUUCAGGGAGUUGUUUCUAGAAGGUGAAUCACACUGGAGGCACUUGCUUAGGCAAGUCUAAACUCCUCACCGUGAAGUUUAUCACAUCUGGGUGUGAUACUGAAACUAGGAACACUUGUAUGUGUCACUUUUCCCUGGCAGUGCCUUUGCUCCUUAACACUGUUAACAAAGGCCAAGGUCAUACCUGGCUGAAACUAUUCCUUUAUUAAAGGCAGCAACAGAAAGUUAAAUCUUGGAGAGAAACAAGUCCAUGCAGGCAGGAAUACCAGAAUGUAAAUACAAAUGCUAACUUGAGCAUACUGUUGUAAGAUUUAACAGGCCAAACUCCUGAACUUCACACCUUCACCUGACACCUGCUGUGCAAGUUGCUAAUACUGGUCUGUAGCAGGAGUGAGGACUCUGCACAUCAGGUAAGACAAGAAAAGAAGCUGCAGCAUCUCCAGGAAAACAACAAAAUUUAAAUUCCCCAGAAAAGGCUGGGAACAACUUCUUACUAAAGGCCAAGACCAGCACUUCAAAUUUUGGAGCAAUUUUGAGUAAAGCACAUGAAGUAUUUCAACAGUAUAUACAGUGAGAAAUAAGAACAUAUUUCAAACUGUGCACCUGAAGGUAAAAGCAAGAUAUGAAGAACUAUAGAGUGUUUUAUACUGAAAACAUUCUUGUCAAAUAUCACAAAGACAAGCACUGUGUAUUCAGGGUCACCUUCUUGUUAAUGAGCAUUCAUGAUAAAAAAAAGGUUUUGUAGGAGUGAUAAUUUGCCUAUGAAAUCAUCAUUAAUUAUGUUCAUUAAUUCAGUAACACUGUUCAAUUCAAGACAAAGACAUGGUGAAACUGUAAUAAAUAUAUUUAGAAUUUU